UACGUAGGGGGCUAGCGUUGUCCGGAAUCAUUGGGCGUAAAGCGCGCGUAGGCGGCCCUGUUAGUCCGCUGUAAAAGUCAAAGGCUCAACCUUUGAAUGCCGGUGGAUACUGCAGGGCUAGAGUCCGGAAGAGGCGAGUGGAAUUCCUGGUGUAGCGGUGGAAUGCGCAGAUAUCAGGAGGAACACCGGUGGCGAAGGCGGGUCUCUGGGCAACAACUGACGCUGAGGAGCGAAAGCGUGGGGAGCGAACAGG
rnacentral:rRNA from 1 species